rnacentral:rRNA from 1 species
CCCUUAGAUGUUCUGGGCCGCACGCGCGCUACACUGACGAAUGCAACGAGCUUAUAACCUUGGCCGAAAGGUCUGGGUAAUCUCCAAAUUUCGUCGUGAUGGGGAUAGAUUAUUGCAAUUAUUAAUCUUCAACGAGGAAUGCCUAGUAAGCGCAAGUUAUCAGCUUGCGUUGAUUACGUCCCUGCCCUUUGUACACACCGCCCGUCGCUCCUACCGAUUGAAUGGUCCGGUGAAGCGUUCGGACCGUGGCCUUUGGACGGUUCGCCGUCUGUUGGCUGCGGGAAGUUCGUUAAACCUUAUCAUUUAGAGGAAGGAGAANUCGUAACA